CACCGUUGAUAGGUAGGAAGAAUAGAGUAGAAGGGAGAUAAACAUAAUCAAAACAAAAACAAAUCGAAUAGCAGGUGAAUUGGAAGUGAAAAUAAAAUUGAGAAUAAAUUGGUGUAUUUUUUCUGGAAAUUAUCAGUAGUGAGGGCGGCAGUAGUAGAAAUAUUGUCAAUAAAUUCAGGAAUAAUAGCACGGUUACACCGAGCCGAAUAAAAAGUGGAAAUCAAUUCACUAGUAACAAUAAACUAGAGAAAUAGUAAACUACUAAAAGUUUACUGGCUAGUGUUUGAGUACGAAUUGAUCGAAUCGUUA